rnacentral:lncRNA from 1 species
GUGCUUUAUAAAAUCUCAUAUUGUCAAAUUGAUGACAAAUAUUACUUUCAGAGAGUGAAGGAUUAUUUUAAGAAUCCUUAUUAUCUCAUUAUCACAAUGAUGACGAUUAUAAUUUCGUCUAUUGCCACGUCCACAUCCAUUGAUACCUUCACGGUAAUAAUUUUGUCUUUAUUAUUUUAAGAAUCCUUACAAUUCUCAUUAUCAUAAUGAUGACGAUUAUAAUUUCGUCUAUUGUCGCGUCCACAUCCAUUGAUACCUUCACGGUAAUAAUUUUGUCUUCUUUCAGACUUAUCACAUACUACUAUCACAUUCUCUAAAGAGAAUGAGAAUGAAGCAAAUUCAAUGGGACGGAUUUUCAAUUCUUUGCCCACAAUCAUACAUGAAUUUAAUCAUGGCAAGACAUAGA